rnacentral:rRNA from 1 species
AGACCCGAAACCCGGUGAUCUAGCCAUGGGCAGGUUGAAGGUUGGGUAACACUAACUGGAGGACCGAACCGACUAAUGUUGAAAAAUUAGCGGAUGACCUGUGGCUGGGGGUGAAAGGCCAAUCAAACCGGGAGAUAGCUGGUUCUCCCCGAAAGCUAUUUAGGUAGCGCCUCGUGAAUUCAUCUCCGGGGGUAGAGCACUGUUUCGGCUAGGGGGCCAUCCCGGCUUACCAACCCGAUGCAAACUGCGAAUACCGGAGAAUGUUAUCACGGGAGACACACGGCGGGUGCUAACGUCCGUCGUGAAGAGGGAAACAACCCAGACCGCCAGCUAAGGUCCCAAAGUCAUGGUUAAGUGGGAAACGAUGUGGGAAGGCCCAGACAGCCAGGAUGUUGGCUUAGAAGCAGCCAUCAUUUAAAGAAAGCGUAAUAGCUCACUGGUCGAGUCGGCCUGCGCGGAAGAUGUAACGGGGCUAAACCAUGCACCGAAGCUGCGGCAGCGACGCUGAUGCGUUGUUGGGUAGGGGAGCGUUCUGUAAGCCUGCGAAGGUGGCCUGUGAGGGUUGCUGGAGGUAUCAGAAGUGCGAAUGCUGACAUAAGUAACGAUAAAGCGGGUGAAAAGCCCGCUCGCCGGAAGACCAAGGGUUCCUGUCCAACGUUAAUCGGGGCAGGGUGAGUCGACCCCUAAGGCGAGGCCGAAAGGCGUAGUCGAUGGGAAACGGGUUAAUAUUCCCGUACUUGGUGUUACUGCGAAGGGGGGACGGAGAAGGCUAUGUUGGCCGGGCGACGGUUGUCCCGGUU